AACUAACAAGGAUUCCCCUAGUAACGGCGAGUGAAGAGGGAAGAGCUCAAAUUUUGAAUCUGGCGUCUUUGGCGUCCGAGUUGUAAUCUAAAGAAGUGUUUUCCGUGACGGACCGUGCAUAAGUCUCCUGGAAUGGAGCGUCAUAGAGGGUGAGAAUCCCGUAUAUGGCACGGACUCCCGUUACUUCUGUGAUACACUCUCAACGAGUCGAGUUGUUUGGGAAUGCAGCUCCAAAUGGGUGGUAAAUGCCAUCUAAAGCUAAAUAUUGGCGAGAGACCGAUAGCGAACAAGUACCGUGAGGGAAAGAUGAAAAGCACUUUGGAAAGAGAGUGAAACAGUACGUGAAAUUGUUGAAAGGGAAACGCUUGAAGUCAGUCACGCCCUUUGGGAUUCAGCCUUGCUUCUGCUUGGUUUACUUCCCUUUGGGUGGGUCAACAUCAGUUUUGGUCGGAGGAGAAAGGCUUGGGGAAGGUAGCAACAUUCAUGUUGUGUUAUAGCCCCUCGUUGUAUACUUCGACUGGGACUGAGGACCGCAGCACGCCUCUGGCCGGGGUUCGCCCACGUACGUGCUUAGGAUGUUGGCAUAAUGGCUU
rnacentral:rRNA from 1 species